UGCCCUGAGGCCGAAGUGGUUCGAGGCAUCGCCCUUUCACGGCGAAGGUAGCGAGUUCGAGUCUCGUCUGGGUAACUA
rnacentral:tRNA from 1 species